GUGCGAGCGUUAUCCGGAUUUAUUGGGUUUAAAGGGUCCGUAGGCGGGCCUGUAAGUCAGUGGUGAAAUCUCAUAGCUUAACUAUGAAACUGCCAUUGAUACUGCAGGCCUUGAGUAAAUUUGAAGUGGCUGGAAUAAGUAGUGUAGCGGUGAAAUGCAUAGAUAUUACUUAGAACACCGAUUGCGAAGGCAGGUCACUAAGAUUUAACUGACGCUGAUGGACGAAAGCGUGGGGAGCGAACAGGAUUAGAUACCCUGGUAGUCCACGCCGUAAACGAUGCUAACUCGUUUUUGGAUCUUCGGGUUCAGAGACCAAGCGAAAGUGAUAAGUUAGCCACCU
rnacentral:rRNA from 1 species